UACGUAGGGGGGCAAGCGUUGUCCGGAAUCAUUGGGCGUAAAGAGCGCGUAGGCGGCCCGAUAAGUCCGCUGUGAAAGUCAAGGGCUCAACCCUUGAAUGCCGGUGGAUACUGUCGGGCUAGAGUCCGGAAGAGGCGAGUGGAAUUCCUGGUGUAGCGGUGAAAUGCGCAGAUAUCAGGAGGAACACCAAUAGCGAAGGCAGCUCGCUGGGACGUUACUGACACUAAGGCGCGAAAGCGUGGGGAGCGAACAGG
rnacentral:rRNA from 1 species